AUGGCACAGCCAUGGCUGAACGUUAGCCUACAUCCAGAGAGAAAACGAGAACGGGUGCCUUUGGGACCGUACUAUCUGGGAUCGUUGGGACGUCCCUACCCCUCAUUGCAGUCGACAUGGUUAAGGUUAUGUGUUAAGCCCGAUCACGUCGAAGACAAUGGGUCAUCCAAUGGGUCAUCUCCUGCGAAAAGAUGCCGGUUACGAAGAAGAGUUGAGUCGGUGAAGAGAAACAGACCACGUAAGUGACACUGACAUCUGUGUUUGCAGGUGCAAUUUUUGCAUUUAGUCAUUUCUGUGUUUACUCGUCAAAAUUACACAAUUUAUGUUAGGCAGCUACAUGGAGGGUUUUCAAACCCCGCAACCGUAACAUGUAUUUAACUAUUCCACAGCUAUCACACCCAGUGGUUUAAAGUCCUUUAUUAAAAAUACUUAAAAAUACUACUUAAGUAGUUUUUGGUGGUAUCUUUACUUUACUAUUUAUAUUUCUGAGUGUUGAAGUGUGACCCUAGCUAUCCAUUAAAUACUUUUUAAAAAAACUAGAAAAUGGUGCCCCCUUUGCUUAAUGUAAGGAAUUUUAAAUAAUUUUUUACCUUUUGAUACUCAAGUAUAUUUAAAACCAAAUUCUUUUAAACUUUUACUCAAGUAGUAUUUUACUGGGUGACUUUAACUUGAGUCAUUUACUAUUAAGGUAUCUUGACUUUGACUCAAGUAUGACACAUGGGUAUUUUUCCCACCACAGAUCACACACGAUUUUAGUCUGUCAACUAAUCAUCGAGCACUUGAUUACCGGCAGGUUCAUCAGGUGAGCUAGUUUAGGGUUACAACAACAUUGUGAUAGGCCUACAUCUGGGUGGGUGGGGUCACCGGGUAGAGGUUUGUAAGCCACUGUGUUACAUGUAAUUAAAGAAGCUGCAAUUAAAGAACUUGCAUAGCCAGCUAUGGGGCCAGGUUGGCGUCCCAGUGAGAAUAGCCUUGGUGUUUUGGUUGAUGCUCGUGUGUUGUAGACAUUCUGUCUGUAUACGUUUAGUCUUUUGCCCGGCAGCACCAUUUCACAGAGUCAACAUUCAGGUAUGUGUAAAGGUGCUGUGACUACUUUAGACUGUUAGUUAGCCACCCUAUUAA
rnacentral:lncRNA from 13 species